CCCAAAUGGGGUCAUGAAGAGUGGGACCCAAAUGAAAAAGACUGAACAAUAACAAUCAGUUUGCCAGGCUGCUGGUACCAGAUGUCACAAAAUCCUUUUAUGAUAGUUGCUCUGAAAAAGGCCAAGUCACAGUGGUGGAGAAAUCUUCAAACUGGUCAAUCUACUUUGACACUCAGACCACAGCUAGUCUCCUAGGAAGGCAAAAGAGAGACCUCAGUACUUAUAAACCAUGGUUCAUUUAGAAUUUUGGAAGAAAGAGCAAGAAAGCAUCAGACCAAACAGCAAACAAGUUUGGACAAGCCUUCCGGAGAAGCUAACCUAAUACUGCUGAGAGACAACAUGACACCAUGAAGAGAGAGAAGCUUUUCUAAGGUCAGAAAGAUUUGGG